AAACGUUUCAAGUCAGUCGCAUUGGCCAGUAAUCAACCUUGCAAUCUUGCGAGGCUUAUUUUCUGGUUGAUGGGUCAGCAUCAAUUUUGACUGUUAGAGAAAGGCUUGAGGAAUGUGGCAUCUUCGGAUGUGUUAUAGCCUUCGUUCGUAUACAAGCGGUUGGGACUGAGGAACUCAGCACGCCGAAAGGCCGGGUUUUUAACCACGUACGUGCUUAGGAUGCUGGCAUAAUGGCUUUAAUCGA
rnacentral:rRNA from 1 species